AGAUCCGCAGCGCUACCCCCAAAUCGCCCCUGCCUCCACCAGAUCGACCGCCCCGCCGCCCACUAGACCUAGCGCAUCUCACCGCCGGCGCGCGGCCACCUCCAGCGCUCCUCCACCCAUCACCACCGGAGCUCCUCCACCCCUCACCACCGCAAGCCGCCGCCACCCCCGACCAUCCACCAUCGCCGCUGCUCCAAUGCAUCCACCACCUCCCGCGCGCCCCGCCCCCACCUCCAGCGCUCGUCCACCCCUCACCACCGCAGCUCCUUCACCCCUCACCACCGCAAGCCGCCGCCGCUCCCAACCAACCAUCCACCGCCGCCGCCCCCCCUCCUCCCAACCAUCCACCACCCUCCACUGGACCGCAAGCCACUGCCGACCACUGCCGUCGUCGCCCAGAGCUGCAACCCCGAAUCGUGCGUUUCCUCCCCGAGCACGGGUCCGCCUCCUCCACAAGCCCCCGAAGCAGCAGCUCACCGCGUUGGCCCUCCUCUCCAGCGGGCAGCUCUGGCUGCUGAGCAUCGACAUCGCUAGCGCUGCUGUACUGGUUUCGAACAAUUUCUGCGCCUCAUAGUACUGCUUACCUGAAGGUAUAUAGUUGUAUCAGAUUUCUUACAUCAUGGACAUGUUCCCAGUAGCUGUGUACAAAUAGUUUCUACUACUGCUUCCCUCUUUUCCUUGUUUGUUCUGAAUGUGCAGCUAUACACAAUGUGUAGAAGUGUAAUAAUAUUGAAGUAGUAGCACUGAACUAUUCUGUCAGUUAGAACAAAGCAUCAAUUUUUAAUUGCUUUGAUCUAAUAACAUAAAAAAAACAUAAGCUUUGGAGUAGCAGCACUGAACUAUUCUGUCAGUAGCAACACUGAACUAUUUUGUCAGUUAGAACAAAGCAUCAAUUUUCUGUCAGUUUGAAGGUUAUUUACUUUGAUCUAAUAACAGCAAAAACCUGAAUAAGUUGUUUAGUUGAGCUUUGGAGUUCAUUUUAAGUCUUUGUUUGUUGAGUUGAUGCCCCAUUUUUGUUUUUGUUUUGCGAAAUACGAGAUGUGGACAGAACAUGUGCUAUGCUUUUAUGAUAUAGACUUAUGGCAAAGAUGUGGACAAAGCACGUGCUAUGCAAUAUCUCACUUAAAUUAAUAUCUCUAUGUUACUAACAGUUUGCUCUUGUUUACAAAUGCAGUGUAUAUUUGAGUGGGUGUAUUUCCUACAGUAUUCCAACUUAUAUUUUAUUAGGUGACUCUAGCUUAACCCUUAUUAAUUUUACAAGGUGAUAUUUGUAAUUUUUUUAGGCUUAGUGUCACCUAUUGUCGGCCUCCUCUACAUCCUAUCCAAGUGCCGCCUCCUCUACUUCUUUGCCCCAACUGAGAGCAUUUGACAGGAGAAAGGUGCGACGGCGCCCGGGUGCCCCGGCACCCGGUUAUCCCGUCCGUCCAGCGGCACGAGGAUCCGUCCUGAGCACUGUAGAGGCGCAGAUGGGUCACUGUAGAGGCGCAGAGUGGUUGCAGCAUUAGAGUAUUUUGGACCCUUUUUAAAGGAGACAAAGACAGAAGGGAAGGGGCGGUAGGUUUCAGAGUUAGGCAGGGCAGGUCUAGGCAUGUCAGGAAUCAUUUGAUCCCACGAGAUGGAUGAAACGACAGCAUACAGCUGCUGCAUGCGCCCGUUCAUUUUAGAGGAGAUUCUCGUUCGCCACGUGUUGUUAUGCUUGCUCACUCCAGCUUCCAGCUUCUCUUCUGGGAUGUUUUUAAUUAGGAUGUUUCUCCUGGGAUUUAAGUGAGAGAGAGAGAGAGAGUAAACAGAGAAAAAUAAUCUUCGAUCUGAGAGGAGCUGUGUGAGAGAGACAAGAAUUUCUUAGGACGCUUCUUUUCCUGAAUUUUAAAAGAAAAAAGGAAGAGAGAGAGAGAGAGGUGCUGUGAGACGUCAGACUCAAAGGAAGAGAAAAGGAAGAGAGAGAGGUGUUGUGUGUCAGAGAGAGAGGUGAUGUGAGAGAUAGAAUAAAAAUAUAGAAUGAAGAGAUGUAUUGCGUGACAGUCUAAGAGAGGAAAGGACAGAAAUGUGGACCGACACCGUUUGCAUUUUUCUUUACUACUGGCUGAGAUGUCAUAUCCUGCUGCUCCAUUUGAAAUCCUCUUAGAUUCCCUUGAUUAACAACCAGUACAUCUGCUAAUCUGUUGUUUGCUACAGUACACGACACAUAUCCCCAAAGACUGGAAUCUGUACAAACUGUGCUGAUGGUGCCUAGGCACCCGGGUGCUGAAAAUCCACUCUCCAUUUGACAGAGUAUGCAGCUGAAAGUGGAUUCUAAGUUCAUGGAAAAAGCAGCAGUGCGACCACAAGCAAACUAAGGAGGUCAUAAUCUUGAAAGUGCUAGUGCAGUGGAUAAGAACAUCGGUACAUGUGAUUGGGAGCCCAAAAGACUAAUAAGAAGUUUUCUAGACGACAUUCUAUGGAAUUUUCACAUACAUGAAACUGAAAUUAAUAUCAGAGGUUGGAGAUGUCCCCGAAGACUGGUCAAGAUACCUUGCUGUAACCAUAUGCUCCGAGCUCAAGUAGAAGACUUACAAGCUUUACUCUCUGUGCUAGUUCCAUUCUGUACAACUUGGACGUCUUCAAACUGCAUCUGCUAAAUUAUGAUGCAAUUCUUUAUGUGUAAUCUGUGAAUAGCAUACAUUGUAACGAUGUAAAUGUUUGACUAUGAGAAUUUAUAAUAUAAAUGUGAAGUACAUGUGCAGUUUCCUUCUGCCUUAUUUGAA